UACGGGGGGGGCAAGCGUUGUUCGGAAUUACUGGGCGUAAAGGGCGCGUAGGCGGUGCUCUAAGUCGGAUGUGAAAACUCUGGGCUCAACCCAGAGCCUGCAUCCGAAACUGGAGUGCUAGAGUUCUGGAGGGGGUAGCGGAAUUCCUGGUGUAGCGGUGAAAUACGUAGAUAUCAGGAGGAACACCGGUGGCGAAGGCGGCUACCUGGACAGAAACUGACGCUGAGGCGCGAAAGCUAGGGGAGCAAACAGG
rnacentral:rRNA from 1 species